rnacentral:rRNA from 1 species
AGGCAGCAGGCACGCAAAUUACCCACUCCCGGCACGGGGAGGUAGUGACAAAAAAUAACGAUACGGGACUCUUAUGAGGCCCCGUAAUCGGAAUGAGUACACUUUAAAUCCUUUAACAAGGAUCCAUUGGAGGGCAAGUCUGGUGCCAGCAGCCGCGGUAAUUCCAGCUCCAAUAGCGUAUAUUAAAGUUGUUGCGGUUAAAAAGCUCGUAGUUGGUUCUGCGUGCUACGCUGUCGGUUCGCCGCCUGCCGGUGUAACUGGCAUGCCGUGGCAUGUCCUGUCGGUGGCGUGCGGGAGCCUCGUCUAGGUGACGGCCCUUGCCUAAAGCUUGGUGCCGUAGGCCGGAGGUCCAACCCGUGCGCCUUCUCUAUCCUACCUAGGUGCUCUUCACCGAGUGUCGAGGUAGGCCGACACGUUUACUUUGAACAAAUUAGAGUGCUCAAAGCAGGCUGAAAUCUCUGCCUGAAUAGUGGUGCAUGGAAUAAUAAAACAGGACCUUGGUUCUAUUUUGUUGGUUCUUAGGAACACAAGGUAAUGAUCAAUACGGACAGGCGGGGGCAUUCGUAUUGCGACGUUAGAGGUGAACCACCAGGAGUGGAGCCUGCGGCUUAAUUAUGACUCAACACGGGAAACCUCACCAGGCCAGGACAUUGGAAGGAUUGACAGAUUGAUAGCUCUUUCUUGAUUCAGUGGGUAGUGGUGCAUGGCCGUUCUUAGUUGGUGGAUCGAUUUGUCUGGUUAAUUCCGAUAACGAACGAGACUCUAGCCUAUUAACUAGGCGUUUACCGGUGUCCUCGCCACCGGCGACACUCAUUCUUCUUAAGGGGACAGGCGGCUUAUAGCCGCACGAGAUUGAGCAAUAACAGGUCUGUAAUGCCCUUAGAUGUCCUGGGCCGCACGCGCGCUACACUGAAGGAAUCAGCGUGUGCCUCCCUGGCCGAAAGGCCCGGGUAAUCCGCUGAACCUCCUGCGUGCUAGGAAUUGGGGCUUGCAAUUGUUCCCCAUGAACGAGGAAUUCCCAGUAAGCGCGAGUCAUAAGCUCGCGUUGAUUACGUCCCUGCCCUUUGUACACACCGCCCGUCGCUACUACCGAUUGAAUGAUUUAGUGAGGUCUUCGGACUGGCGGUAAUCCCUA